rnacentral:rRNA from 1 species
GAUGAACGCUGGCGGCGUGCUUAACACAUGCAAGUCGAACGAAGCACUUUGGACGGAUCCUUCGGAUGAAGUCCUUAGUGACUGAGUGGCGGCCGGGUGAGUAACGCGUGGGUAACCUGCCUCAUACAGGGGGAUAACAGUUAGAAAUGGCUGCGAAUACCGCAUAAGCGCACAGUACUGCACGGUACAGUGUGAAAAACUCAGGUGGUAUGAGAUGGACCCGCGUUGGAUUAGCUAGUUGGCAGGGUAACGGCAUACCAAGGAGAGGAUCCAGAGUAUGCAUGAGAUGGUGGACGGCUAUAUUGGGACUGAGACACGACCCAGACUCCUACGGUAUGCCGCAGUUGUGAAUAUUGCACAAUGGGGGAAAUCCUGAUGCGGUGACGACUCGUGAGCUAAGAAUUAUUUCGGUAUGGAUAGCUCUAUCAGCAGGGAAGAAAAAGGCGGUACCUGACUAGGAAGCCCUGGCUAACUACGUUCCAGCCGCCGCAGUAAGAC